AGAGUUUGAUCCUGGCUCAGGACGAACGCUGGCGGCGUGCCUAAUGCAUGCAAGUCGCACGCACCUUCGGGUGAGUGGCGCACGGCUGAGGAACACGUGGCUAACCUGCCCAUGAGUGGGGGAUAACGGGCCGAAAGGCUCGCUAAGCCCGCAUACGAUCCGCGCAAGCGGAGGAAAGCUUCGGCGCUCAUGGAGGGGGCCGCGCCCCAUUAGCUUGUUGGUGUGGUAAUGGCGCACCAAGGCUGUGAUGGGUUCCGGGUCUGAGAGGACGAUCCGGCAGACUGGGACUGAGACACGGCCCAGACUCCUACGGGGGGCAGCAGCAAGGAAUUUUCCCCAAUGGGCGAAAGCCUGAGGGAGCAACGCCGCGUGGAGGAUGACGGCUUUCGGGUUGUAAACUCCUUUUUAUGGGGACGAUAAUGACGGUACCCAUGGAAUAAGCCCCGGCUAACUACGUGCCAGCAGCCGCGGUAAUACGUAGGGGGCAAGCGUUGUCCGGACUUACUGGGCGUAAAGCGCGUGCAGGCGGAUUGGUAUGUGCCGUGUGAAAGCUCUCGGCUUGCCCGGGAGAGGUCGCGGUAGACAGCCGAUCUGGAGGCUCGGAGAGGUUAGUGGAAUUCCCGGUGUAGUGGUGAAAUGCGUAGAUAUCGGGAGGAACACCAGUGGCGCAAGCGGCUAACUGGCCGAGACCUGACGCUGAGACGCGACGGCGUGGGGAGCAAACCGGAUUAGAUACCCGGGUAGUCCACGCAGUAAACGAUGCACACCCGGUGUCGGACCGACCGUUAAGAUCGGUGCGGUGCCCAAGCUUACGCGAUGAGUGUGCCGCCUGGGGACUACGAGCGCAAGCUUAAAACUCAAAGGAAUUGACGG
rnacentral:rRNA from 1 species